rnacentral:rRNA from 1 species
UACGGGGGGGGCAAGCGUUGUUCGGAUUUAUUGGGCGUAAAGAGCUCGUAGGCGGCUCGUCGCGUCGACCGUGAAAACCCGCGGCUUAACCGCGGGCUUGCGGUUGAUACGGGCGGGCUAGAGUUCGGUAGGGGAGACUGGAAUUCCUGGUGUAGCGGUGAAAUGCGCAGAUAUCAGGAGGAACACCGGUGGCGAAGGCGGGUCUCUGGGCCGAUACUGACGCUGAGGAGCGAAAGCGUGGGGAGCGAACAGG